rnacentral:lncRNA from 1 species
CUAUCUAUCUAUCUAUCUAUCUCAGCUAUUUAAAAAUCACUUUCUUUAAAUGAAUGCAUAAAUAAAGCAAAAGUCUCUGUGAAUCCCAGGUGAGACUGAUUUGCCCAGGAGAAGUUUGCCUAUUUUUUCCUCAUGAAACCCAUCAUUAUAUUUUUCUUUUGUAUAUCUUGUUUAUCCUAAUCAACUAUUCCUUCCAAUUUAGCAUAGUUGUGCAAUGUCCUCAGUAUCAAGAUAAACAAAGGACCACAAAAUGGAGUGACUUUGAAAAGUUCAUUUGAGCCAGAGCUCAAACACUCAUGCUGCCUGUCUUCCAUCUGAAGGCUGUUUAUCACAUUAGCUGAGUGUUUUCACACCCCAUCCCUGAAAUACAAGGCAAGCUCUCAGAGUAGAAUCACGGAGGGUGUUUGUUUUAUGGAAGCUCCUCACAGUCUGUUAUGGAUGGAUCAACAUGUCACCUCUGCUACAAGACAAGAAGUUGAAACUUUAUUUAACAACUUUCCCUGAUGUUGUGACUUCAGACAUUGGAAGAAAUAUUUGGAAUUGUAAUUACCAUGAUGUCCUGAACACUAGAAUGAGACAGUCAUGGUUCUCAAGGGAGGAGUUCCAAGGUACUUGGCUACUGCUAAAAGAAG